CUACGGGAGGCACCAGUGGGGAAUAUUGGACAAUGGGGGAAACCCUGAUCCAGCAAUGCCGCGUGUGUGAAGAAGGCCUGCGGGUUGUAAAGCACUUUCGGUUGGGAGGACUGCUUCUAGCACUAAUAUUGUUGGAAGUUGACGUUACCUUCAGAAGAAGCACCGGCUAACUCCGUGCCAGCAGUCGCGGUAAUACGGAGGGUGCAAGCGUUAAUCGGAAUUACUGGGCGUAAAGCGCGCGUAGGCGGCUAGACCAGUCAGGUGUGAAAGCCCCGGGCUUAACCUGGGAACUGCAUCCGAUACUGUCUAGCUUGAGUACAGGAGAGGAGAGUGGAAUUCCACAUGUAGCGGUGAAAUGCGUAGAUAUGUGGAGGAACACCAAUGGCGAAGGCAGCUCUCUGGCCUGAUACUGACGCUGAGGUGCGAAAGCGUGGGGAGCAAACAGGAUUAGAUACCCCUGUAGUC
rnacentral:rRNA from 1 species